rnacentral:tRNA from 1 species
GUGCGUAGCUCAGUUGGCUAGAGCAACUGACUCUUAAUCAGUGGGUCUAGGGUUCGAAUCCCU